rnacentral:misc_RNA from 1 species
GAUGAAGAACGCAGCGAAAUGCGAUAAGUAAUGUGAAUUGCAGAAUUCAGUGAAUCAUCGAAUCUUUGAACGCACAUUGCGCCCUCUGGUAUUCCGGGGGGCAUGCCUGUUCGAGCGUCAUUACAACCCUCAAGCUUUGCUUGGUAUUGGACAUUGCCAGUUUCUGGCAGGUCUUAAAAUCAGUGGCGGUGCCAUUUGGCUUCAAGCGUAGUAAUUCUUCUCGCUUUGGAGAUCCAAGUGGUUACUUGCCAAUAACCCCCAAUUUUUUCAGGUUGACCUCGUAUCAGGUAGGGAUACCCGCUGAACUUAAGCAUAUCAAUAAGCGGAGGA